GCCCGGUUAGCUCAAUCGGUAGAGCGUGAGACUCUUAGGAUUCACGAUCUGUCAAACACGAUUGGAAUACGAUGCAAUCUCAAGGUUGCGGGUUCGACCCCCGUAAGUUCA